UGAAUUUCCAGCCUUGUUAGCAAUCCCGGCUCGGGGUUCAUUGCUAACCAGAAGCCCCAACAGGUUGAAAUGCAUUCCAGGUGACUACCUCAUGAAGCUGGUUGAGAUAAUGCCAACCAAGGCAAAGGGUGGCUACUUAGAACAAUCUCAAAUAUAUUUUGAUUUGUUUGAAACUUUUUUGGUUACUAAAUUAUUCCAUAUGUGUUAUUUAAUAAUUUUGAUGUCUUCAAUAUUAUUCUACAAGGUAGAAAGUUGUAUAAAUAAAGAAAAACAUUGGAAUGAAUCGGUGCGUCUAAACUUUUGACUGGUACUGUAAAUGGAAAGAUCAUGUCAUAAAUGUUGAAAUAAAGUGUAAGAAGGUGCUGAAUCUUAUGAGCUCGGCCUCUGGUUAUGAAUGGGGUGCUGACAGACAAUCGUUGAAAGAUAUUUAUAGAGUUCGAAUCAGGACGACAAUUGAUUACGGGUAAAUAGUUUAUGGAAAAGCGGCAAAGACUUGGCUUCAGAAGCUGAAUCCAGUAAAUAGCUUAAAGGUGUCAUGCCUCUCCAGGCUG
rnacentral:lncRNA from 1 species